rnacentral:rRNA from 1 species
GAGUUUGAUCCUGGCUCACCAACGAACGCUCGCGGCGUGCCUAACACAUGCAAGUCGCGCGAGAAAGUGGCUUCGGCCAUGAGUACAGCGGCAGACGGGUGAGUAACACGUGGGUAACCUAUCCUUCGAGUGGGGGACAACCCGGGGAAACUCGGGCUAAUACCGCAUAACAUCUCAGAGAUUACGGCAUUUGAGAUCAAAGCAGGGGAUCUUCGGACCUUGUGCUUAAGGAGGGGCCCGCGGCCGAUUAGCUUGUUGGCGGGGUAAUGGCCCACCAAGGCAACGAUCGGUAGCCGGCCUGAGAGGGCGAUCGGCCACACUGGGACUGAGACACGGCCCAGACUCCUACGGGAGGCAGCAGUGAGGAAUCAUGCGCAAUGGGGGAAACCCUGACGCUGCGACGCCGCGUGGGCGAUGAAGGCCUUCGGGUCGUAAAGCCCUGUCGAGAGGGAAGAAAGCUGUCGUUGCUAAUAUCAACGGCAGUUGACGGUACCUCUGGAGGAAGCCCCGGCUAACUCCGUGCCAGCAGCCGCGGUAAUACGGAGGGGGCAAGCGUUGUUCGGAAUUACUGGGCGUAAAGCGCGCGUAGCGGCUUGGUAAGUCAGUGUGAAAGC